AAGGUAGGUACACUAGUAGGUAAAGAAUUGAUUCUAAGCAAGCUGAAGGCAUGUCCAGUGAGACUUUGGAGAGUGAAUUGCAACACAAAGCAAGAGCCAAUGUUGGCUGAUCAGUUACUGCUAUGCUGGAAUUUCAUUCUGUCGCACAGAAGCAAUCCAACACUGGUGAGCAAGAACUGGAAGACUGAAGCUCAGAUAGAAAUAACUUGCAGAGUGCUGAACAGACUGAGAACUGAUAGCACACGGGCUGGUGACCACAGAGAGGGGUCCUCUGAAUGCUGAAAACUCAGACUUGUCAGGACAUCCUUGAACUCAGCAGGAUGAUAAAUGAGGAUGACAUGAAACCUGUCGAACAGUAAGCUGGUAGAAAUAAUACUCUUUUU
rnacentral:lncRNA from 1 species